CCCGCACAAGCAGCGGAGCGUGUGGUUUAAUUCGAUGCUACACGAAGAACCUUACCAGGGUUUGACAUACAAGUAGUAGGGAAAGGAAACUGGACCGACCCUUCGGGGAGCUUGUACAGGUGCUGCAUGGCUGUCGUCAGCUCGUGUCGUGAGAUGUUCGGUUAAGUCCCGCAACGAGCGCAACCCUCGCCUUUAGUUGCCAGCAUUCAGUUGGGCACUCUAGAGGGACUGCCGGUGUCAAACCGGAGGAAGUGGGGAUGACGUCAAGUCCUCAUGGCCUUUAUGUCUAGGGCUACACACGUACUACAAUGGCCGGUACAAAGGGCAGCCACUCAGCGAUGAGGCGCUAAUCCCAUAAAGCCGGUCUCAGUCCGGAUCGCAGUCUGCAACUCGACUGCGUGAAGUUGGAAUCGCUAGUAAUCGUAGAUCAGCAUGCUACGGUGAAUACGUUCCCGGGCCUU
rnacentral:rRNA from 1 species